rnacentral:rRNA from 1 species
UGGGGAAUUUUGCGCAAUGGGGGAAACCCUGACGCAGCAACGCCGCGUGAGUGAUGAAGGCCUUCGGGUCGUAAAGCUCUGUCAGAGGGAAAGAAAUGCAGGGAGGCUAAUACCCUUUUUGCUUGACGGUACCCUCAAAGGAAGCACCGGCUAACUCCGUGCCAGCAGCCGCGGUAAUACGGAGGGUGCAAGCGUUGUUCGGAUUUAUUGGGCGUAAAGCGCGUGUAGGCGGUUGUUUAAGUCUGAUGUGAAAGCCCUGGGCUCAACCCGGGAAGUGCAUUGGAAACUGGGCAACUUGAAUACGGGAGAGGGCAGUGGAAUUCCUAGUGUAGGAGUGAAAUCCGUAGAUAUUAGGAGGAACACCGGUGGCGAAGGCGGCUGCCUGGACCGAUAUUGACGCUGAGACGCGAAAGCGUGGGGAGCAAACAGGAUUAGAUACCCU